rnacentral:rRNA from 1 species
AUUGAACGCUGGCGGCAUGCUUUACACAUGCAAGUCGAACGGCAGCGCGGGGGCAACCCUGGCGGCGAGUGGCGAAACGGGUGAGUAAUGUAUCGGAACGUAUCCUGUAAUGGGGGAUAACCAGUCGAAAGAUUGGGUAAUACCGCAUACGCACGAGAGUGGAAAGUAGGGGAUCGCAAGACCUUACGUUAUAGGAGCGGCCGAUAUCUGAUUAGCUAGUUGGUGGGGUAAAGGCCUACCAAGGCGACGAUCAGUAGCUGGUCUGAGAGGACGACCAGCCACACUGGGACUGAGACACGGCCCAGACUCCUACGGGAGGCAGCAGUGGGGAAUUUUGGACAAUGGGCGAAAGCCUGAUCCAGCCAUGCCGCGUGCAGGAAGAAGGCCUUCGGGUUGUAAACUGCUUUAGUCUAGGAAAAAGGGGUGCGAGGUUAAUACCCUCGUGCUUUGAUGGUACUGGAAGAAUAAGCACCGGCUAACUACGUG